GACGAAGAACGCAGCGAAAUGCGAUAAGUAGUGUGAAUUGCAGAAUUCAGUGAAUCAUCGAAUCUUUGAACGCACAUUGCGCCCCUUGGUAUUCCAUGGGGCAUGCCUGUUCGAGCGUCAUUUGUACCUUCAAGCUCUGCUUGGUGUUGGGUGUUUGUCUCGCCUCUGCGUGUAGACUCGCCUCAAAACAAUUGGCAGCCGGCGUAUUGAUUUCGGAGCGCAGUACAUCUCGCGCUUUGCACUCAUAACGACGACGUCCAAAAGUACAUUUUUACACUCUUGACCUCGGAUCAGGUAGGGAUACCCGCUGAACUUAAGCAUAUCAAUAAGCGGAGGA
rnacentral:misc_RNA from 1 species